GGGGUUGUGGCUCAGUGGUAGAGCGCUUGCCUGGCACACCUGAGGCCCUGGGCUCGAUUCUCAGCACCA
rnacentral:tRNA from 1 species